rnacentral:tRNA from 1 species
GCAUCGGUAGUCCAAUGGUAAGACAUCACCCUGCCACGGUGAAAAUCCGGGUUCGAACCCCGGCCGAUGCA